CAGCUCCAAUAGCGUAUAUUAAAGUUGUUGCAGUUAAAAAGCUCGUAGUUGGAUCUAGGGACGCGCAUUUCAAGCGCCCGUGUCGUCGGGUCAAACCGGCGACUGCGUUGGCGUUGCGGGCUCGGUCCGUCGGUGCCCCACAAAGGUUAUCGGCGUGUCAACCGGCCCGCCCGUCCCCUCCUUCUGGAUUCCCGUUCCUGCUAUUGAGUUAGUGGGGACGUCACAGGGGGUUCAACGCGUCGGUGGUGGAUCUCUGGGGCCCAGAUCGUUUACCGUGAAAAAAUUAGAGUGUUCAAAGCAGGCAGAUUCAAUUUUCUGCCACCGAAUACAUUAGCAUGGGAUAAUGGAAUAGGACCCUGUCCUCCUAUUUUCAGUUGGUUUUGGCAGCGCGAGGACUAGGGUAAUGAUUAAUAGGGAUAGUUGGGGGCAUUAAUAUUUAAUUGUCAGAGGUGAAAUUCUUGGAUUUAUGAAAGAUUAACUU
rnacentral:rRNA from 1 species